rnacentral:rRNA from 1 species
AGAGUUUGAUCAUGGCUCAGGAUAAACGCUGGCGGCAUGCCUUACACAUGCAAGUCGAGCGGCAGCGCGGGGGCAACCCUGGCGGCGAGCGGCGAACGGGUGAGUAAUACAUCGGAACGUGUCCAGUAGCGGGGGAUAACCUGUCGAAAGAUAGGCUAAUACCGCAUACGACCUACGGGUGAAAGCGGGGGACCGCAAGGCCUCGCACUAUUGGAGCGGCCGAUGUCGGAUUAGCUAGUUGGCGGGGUAAAAGCCCACCAAGGCGACGAUCCGUAGCUGGUCUGAGAGGACGAUCAGCCACACUGGAACUGAGACACGGUCCAGACUCCUACGGGAGGCAGCAGUGGGGAAUUUUGGACAAUGGGCGCAAGCCUGAUCCAGCCAUGCCGCGUGAGUGAAGAAGGCCUUCGGGUUGUAAAGCUCUUUCGGCGGGGACGAAACGGUUCAUGACAACACCAUGGACUAAUGACGGUACUCGCAGAAGAG